rnacentral:rRNA from 1 species
AUUGAACGCUGGCGGCAUGCUUUACACAUGCAAGUCGAACGGCAGCGCGGGCUUCGGCCUGGCGGCGAGUGGCGAACGGGUGAGUAAUACAUCGGAACGUGCCCAGUAGUGGGGGAUAGCUCGGCGAAAGCCGGAUUAAUACCGCAUACGACCUGAGGGUGAAAGCGGGGGAUCUUCGGACCUCGCGCUCUUGGAGCGGCCGAUGGCAGAUUAGCUAGUUGGUGGGGUAAAGGCCUACCAAGGCGACGAUCGGUAGCUGGUCUGAGAGGACGACCAGCCACACUGGGACUGGGACACGGCCCAGACUCCUACGGGAGGCAGCAGUGGGGAAUUUUAGACAAUGGGCGAAAGCCUGAUCCAGCAAUGCCGCGUGUGUGAUGAAGGCCUUCGGGUUGUAAAGCACUUUUGGCGGGAACGAAAAGGACUGUGCCAAUACCACGGUUCGAUGACGGUACCCGCAGAAUAAGCACCGGCUAACUACGUG